rnacentral:rRNA from 1 species
UACGGAGGAUGCGAGCGUUAUCCGGACUUAUUGGGUUUAAAGGGUGCGUAGGCGGAUCGUUAAGUCAGUGGUCAAAUUGAGGGGCUCAACCCCUUCCCGCCAUUGAAACUGGCGAUCUUGAGUGGAAGAGAAGUAUGCGGAAUGCGUGGUGUAGCGGUGAAAUGCAUAGAUAUCACGCAGAACCCCGAUUGCGAAGGCAGCAUGCCGGCUUCCGACUGACGCUGAAGCACGAAAGCGUGGGGAUCGAACAGG